GAUGAACGCUGGCGGCGGGCCUAACACAUGCAAGUCGAACGGAAAGACAGUAAGAGUUUGCCUUUAAGGGUGGCGGGUGGCGGACGGGUGAGGAAUAUAUCGGAACCUUCUUUUUCGUGGGGGAUAACGUAAGGCAGGUUCAGAUAAUAGCGCAUAUGAUGCACCGGGGGGAGCAGUGGAUCAUUUCAGCUUGUGUGAUUGAAUGCGCCGAUUUCGCAUUAGCUUGUUGGGGAGGUAAUGGCCCAGCAUGGCAACGAUACGUAGCCGGACUGAGAGGGUGAUCGGCCACACUGGAACUGAGACACGGUCCAGACUCCUACGGGAGGCAGCAGUCGGGAAUAUUGCGCAAUGGGCGCAAGCCUGACCCAGCCAUCCCGCGUGAGUGAAGAAAGCCUUCGGGUCGUAAAGCCCUUUUUUUGGGGAAGAAAAGCUGCAGAUUAAAACCCCGCUGUACUGACGGUACCCAAUGAAUAAGCACCGGCUAACUACGUG
rnacentral:rRNA from 1 species